AGCGAACGCUGGCGGCAGGCCUAACACAUGCAAGUCGAGCGCCGUAGCAAUACGGAGCGGCAGACGGGAGAGUAACACGUGGGAACGUACCCUUUGGUUCGGAACAACCCAGGGAAACUUGGGCUAAUACCGGAUAAGCCCUCACGGGGAAAGAUCUAUCGCCGAGGGAUCGGCCCGCGUCUGAUUAGCUAGUUGGUGAGGUAAUGGCUCACCAAGGCGACGAUCAGUAGCUGGUCUGAGAGGAUGAUCAGCCUCACUGGGACUGAGACACGGCCCAGACUCCUACGGGAGGCAGCAGUGGGGAAUAUUGGACAAUGGGCGCAAGCCUGAUCCAGCCAUGCCGCGUGGGUGAUGAAGGCCCUAGGGUUGUAAAGCCCUUUCGGCGGGGAAGAUAAUGACGGUACCCGCAGAAGAAGACCCGGCUAACUUCGUGCCAGCCGCCGCGGUAAUAC
rnacentral:rRNA from 1 species